rnacentral:rRNA from 1 species
GGGAUGAACGCUAGCGGCAGGCCUAAUACAUGCAAGUCGAGGGGCAGCGGGAGUAGCAAUACUUGCCGGCGACCGGCGCACGGGUGCGUAACACGUAUGGAAUUUGCCCAUUACUGAGGGAUAGCCCGAAGAAAUUCGGAUUAAUACCUCAUAACACUGCACUAUGGCAUCAUAGAGCAGUUAAAGAUUUAUCGGUAAUGGAAGACCAUGCGUCUGAUUAGCUAGUUGGUGAGGUAAUGGCUCACCAAGGCAACGAUCAGUAGGGGACCUGAGAGGGUGACUCCCCACACUGGUACUGGGAUACGGACCAGACCUCGU